rnacentral:rRNA from 1 species
UGAGGGUUGCUGGAGGUAUCAGAAGUGCGAAUGCUGACAUAAGUAACGAUAAAGCGGGUGAAAAGCCCGCUCGCCGGAAGACCAAGGGUUCCUGUCCAACGUUAAUCGGGGCAGGGUGAGUCGACCCCUAAGGCGAGGCCGAAAGGCGUAGUCGAUGGGAAACGGGUUAAUAUUCCCGUACUUGGUGUUACUGCGAAGGGGGGACGGAGAAGGCUAUGUUGGCCGGGCGACGGUUGUCCCGGUUUAAGCGUGUAGGUGUGUGUUCCAGGUAAAUCCGGUUCACUUUAACACUGAGGCGUGACGACGAGGCACUACGGUGCUGAAGCAACAAAUGCCCUGCUUCCAGGAAAAGCCUCUAAGCAUCAGGUAACAUCAAAUCGUACCCCAAACCGACACAGGUGGUCAGGUAGAGAAUACCAAGGCGCUUGAGAGAACUCGGGUGAAGGAACUAGGCAAAAUGGUGCCGUAACUUCGGGAGAAGGCACGCUGACACGUAGGUGAAGUGAUUUACUCAUGGAGCUGAAGUCAGUCGAAGAUACCAGCUGGCUGCAACUGUUUAUUAAAAACACAGCACUGUGCAAACACGAAAGUGGACGUAUACGGUGUGACGCCUGCCCGGUGCCGGAAGGUUAAUUGAUGGGGUCAGCGCAAGCGAAGCUCCUGAUCGAAGCCCCGGUAAACGGCGGCCGUAACUAUAACGGUCCUAAGGUAGCGAAAUUCCUUGUCGGGUAAGUUCCGACCUGCACGAAUGGCGUAAUGAUGGCCAGGCUGUCUCCACCCGAGACUCAGUGAAAUUGAACUCGCUGUGAAGAUGCAGUGUACCCGCGGCAAGACGGAAAGACCCCGUGAACCUUUACUAUAGCUUGACACUGAACAUUGAGCCUUGAUGUGUAGGAUAGGUGGGAGGCUUUGAAGUGUGGACGCCAGUCUGCAUGGAGCCGACCUUGAAAUACCACCCUUUAAUGUUUGAUGUUCUAACGU